AUUGAACGCUGGCGGCAGGCCUAACACAUGCACGUCGAGCGAGCGGCGGACGGGUGAGUAAUGUCUGGGAAACUGCCUGAUGGAGGGGGAUAACUACUGGAAACGGUAGCUAAUACCGCAUACCAUCAGAUGUGCCCAGAUGGGAUUAGCUGGUGGGUGGGGUAACGGCUCACCUAGUCGACGAUCCCUAGCUGGUCUGAGAGGAUGACCAGCCACACUGGAACUGAGACACGGUCCAGAUGCCUACGGGAGGCAGCAGUGGGGAAUAUUGCACAAUGGGCGCAAGCCUGAUGCAGCCAGGCCGCGUGUAUGAAGAAGGCCUUCGGGUUGUAAAGCACUUUCAGCGAGGAGGCGUUACUCGCAGAAGAAGCACAGGCUAACUCCGUGCCAGCAGCCGCGGUAAUUC
rnacentral:rRNA from 1 species